rnacentral:tRNA from 1 species
UGGCCGUUGGUGUAAUGGUAGCACAGGGGUCUUUGGAGCCCUUAGACAUGGUUCGAGUCCAUGACGGCCAGCCA